rnacentral:rRNA from 1 species
AGCAUAUCAAUAAGCGGAGGAAAAGAAACUAACAAGGAUUCCCCUAGUAACGGCGAGUGAAGCGGGAAGAGCUCAAAUUUAAAAUCUGGCAGUGUAUUCUGUCCGAGUUGUAGUCUAGAGAAGCAUCAUCCGUGCUGGACCAUGUACAAGUCUCUUGGAACAGAGCGUCAUAGAGGGUGAGAAUCCCGUCCUUGACAUGGACUCCCAGUACUUUGUGUUGUGCUCUCAACGAGUCGAGUUGUUUGGGAAUGCAGCUCAAAAUGGGUGGUAAAUUCCAUCUAAAGCUAAAUAUUGGCGAGAGACCGAUAGCGAACAAGUACCGUGAGGGAAAGAUGAAAAGCACUUUGGAGAGAGAGUUAAACAGUACGUGAAAUUGUUGAAAUGGAAACGCUUGAAGUCAGUNNCGUUCUCUGGGACUCAGCCUUGCUUUUGCUUGGUGUAUUUCCUAGUCUACGGGCCAGCAUGAGUUUUGACCAAUGGAAAAAGGCUUGGGGAAUGUGGCACCCUCGGGUGUGUUAUAGCCCCUUGUCACAUACGUUGGUUGGGAUUGAGGUCUUAGUGCACGCUUCGGUUGUGCUUUGAUGCUGGCGUAAUGGCUUUAAACGACCCGUCUUGAAACACGGACCAAGGAGUCUAACAUGUCUGCGAGUGUUUGGGUGCAAAACCCGAGCGCGUAAUGAAAGUGAUAGUUGGGAACCUUUUNNGAGGGGCACCGACGCCCGGACCAGACCUUCUGUGACGGAUCCGAGGUAGAGCAUAUAUGUUGGGACCCGAAAGAUGGUGAACUAUGCCUGCAUAGGGUGAAGCCAGAGGAAACUCUGGUGGAGGCUCGUAGCGAUUCUGACGUGCAAAUCGAUCGUCAAAUGUGGGUAUAGGGGCGAAAGACUAAUCGAACCAU